rnacentral:piRNA from 1 species
UAAUGGACCUGAAUGGCAAAAGUCAAUCUGA